GCCCGGGGCCCCGAUGGCUUUACCACUAAUCUCUGAUGUCGCAACUUUCCUCCCCUGAAGCUCUUUUCUGUAGUUUCGUCAGACGUGGUGUGGAUUGUUUUCUUUCCUCCCUGUUGGUGUCGGUUCAUAGCAGCACGGCUGGUUUUCUGCAGUGAGCCACUGGCCAACCACAGUCAUCGAUGUCACACGUGGGAUACUGCCUACUGAUGGCUUUACAACACAACCCCUGCUGGGACAUAGAAAUUUAAAAGGUUUAACCAAACCUGGGAGCAUUUGUUCCUCAUCUUGGACAAAAACAUUUUCACUCACCGGAGAAGAUUGCAGGAA